GACGAACGCUGGCGGCGUGCUUAACACAUGCAAGUCGAACGGAAAGGCCCUGCUUGCAGGGUACUCGAGUGGCGAACGGGUGAGUAACACGUGGGUGAUCUGCCCUGCACUUCGGGAUAAGCCUGGGAAACUGGGUCUAAUACCGGAUAUGACCUUCCAUGUAGUGUGGGGGGUGGAAAGAUUUAUCGGUGUGGGAUGAGCCCGCGGCCUAUCAGCUUGUUGGUGGGGUAAUGGCCUACCAAGGCGUCGACGGGUAGCCGGCCUGAGAGGGUGGACGGCCACAUUGGGACUGAGAUACGGCCCAGACGCCUACGGGAGGCAGCAGUGGGGAAUAUUGCACAAUGGGCGGAAGCCUUAUGCAGCGACGCCGCGUGGGGGAUGACGGCCUUCGGGUUGUAAACCUCUUUCGACAGGGACGAAGCUUCGGUGACGGUACCUGUAGAAGAAGCACCGGCUAACUACGUG
rnacentral:rRNA from 1 species